GGGCACACACAUACUCAUGCACUCACACACAUACACACACAUGUUCACAUCCACAGUCACUCCCACAAACGUACGCAUGUAUGCACACACAUUCACAAAUUCACGCACACAAACACACUCUCACCCAAUCACACACACACACACACACACAUCGACACACUUGCAACCUUCCUUGACCAAUGCCUUACCAGUGCAAUUUCAGCUGUGCCCAAUAUUAUAUAUAUAUAUAUAUAACCUCAGUACAGCCUAACCCCUGUACAUAAGAGUAUUAUCUUUUAGCAGUUCAGGUUAAGCACUUGCUGUCUAAAUGUGAUUUUUUUUUUACAUUUUAAUACAUUUAUAUUGCAAAUGUUCAAGGUGUGUUUAUGUACUUUUGAUUAUUAAAACAUUAAUAUAACAUUGAGAGUAAUAAUGCCAAAAGAUGGCAGGGUAAAAUGUUUUUGAAGUAAUAAUUCUAUCUCCUGAAUCUGCAUCUUUUAAAAAAAUAAUCCAGUGGCAAACUCCUCCACUUAAAUGUGCAUUCUACUAGUUUUUACAGUUGCUUUCAUUCAUUUUCACAAGAUUUCCAAUGUGAAAUUUUUGUGGGCAAAAGCUGCUGAUAGGGAGAAGAAUGAGGAAUGCAGAAUGAUCACUGCAGUGUACUUAUUUCCUUUCAUUACUGUAAACAAUGAUGGAUUGAGUUUCCUUAUUAAUUCUGUUAGAAUUGUGUUUUUUUCUUUUUCCUUUAAUUUUUCUGUAUUUUCAGACAAUAGUAUGCAAUGAUUAAACCUGAAUUAUAAAAAUA